CCAUUACUUGAGGCCGGACGGAGCAGUGCAUACCCCUACUUCAAUUGCCCAGAUUCGGUAGCUAAUCUGUUCCUCUGCCUAGUGUCAGUAAACAAGCCUUCUUCCCUCUGUAUUGUCGUCGGCCAUAAGAUUUCGAGCAUCCACAUAUUUCUAUAGCCUAUUGACAGAGAGGAAGAAGAUUUGGCAGCAAUAUACCUUUGCUGGCAACAACAAACCGUGUGUGGAUCAACAAUCAAGGCUGUGAAUUUAGGACUUUGACGCGAGACGAGUAUCUCGGAGUCAGAUUGGACCU